AAACAUAACCUUUAGAUACAAACAAAUAUUAAAGGCAACGCCUGCCCAGUGAACAAUUAAACGGCCGCGGUACCCUAACCGUGCAAAGGUAGCAUAAUCAUUUGUCUAUUAAUUGUAGACCCGUAUGAAAGGCAAAAUGAAGGCCUAACUGUCUCUUAUAAUAAAUCAAUUAAACUGAUCCCCUAGUAAAAAAGCUAGAAUACACACAUAAGACCAGAAGACCCUGUGAAACUUUAACUAAACUAUUACACCAUAUAAUAGCUACUUUCGGUUGGGGCGACCUUGGAAUAAAAAAGAACUUCCAAACACAUGACCAUAACCCAUACCAACAGGCCCACAAGCCAUCUAAACGACCCAGCAUUAGCUGACCACUGAACCAAGCUACUCCAGGGAUAACAGCGCUAUCUUCUUCAAGAGCCCAUAUCAAAAAGAAGGUUUACGACCUCGAUGUUGGAUCAGGACAUCCUAAUGGUGCAGCCACUAUUAAGGGUUCGUUUGUUCAACGAUUAACAGUCCUACGUGA
rnacentral:rRNA from 1 species